rnacentral:rRNA from 1 species
GGCUAAUGAAGACUAAACUGUCUCUUGCACCUCACCUAUGAAACUGAUCCCUUAGUUUAAAAGCUAAGAUAACCACACAAGACGAGAAGACCCUGUGGAGCUUAAAACCGGACCCAUAAAAUGGCCCACCGGUUUUUAGUUGGGGCGACUUCGGAGAACAAAAAAUCCUCCGACCAAAAAGAAAGAUCGACACAUCACAAACACCUAUCGACCCAGUAGAACCAUACUAACUGACUAACGGACCAAGUUACCCCAGGGAUAACAGCGCCAUCCUCUUCUAGAGUCCCUAUCGACAAGAGGGCUUACGACCUCGAUGUUG